rnacentral:rRNA from 1 species
AAUCAACGCUGGCGGCGUGCCUAACACAUGCAAGUCGAACGAGAAAGUGGAGCAAUCCAUGAGUAAAGUGGCGACCGGGUGAGUAACACGUGACUAACCUACCCUAAAGUGGGGAAUAACCUCGGGAAACCGGGGCUAAUACCGCAUAACAUUGCGCGGCUGAAAGGCCAUGCAUUCAAAGGAGCAAUUCGCUUUAGGAGGGGGUCGCGGUUGAUUAGCUAGUUGGUGAGGUAAUGGCNCACCAAGGCGAUGAUCAAUAGCCGGCCUGAGAGGGCGCACGGCCACACUGGAACUGAAACACGGUCCAGACUCCUACGGGAGGCAGCAGUGGGGAAUUUUGCGCAAGUGGGGGAACCCUGACGCAGCAACGCCGCGUGGAGA